rnacentral:rRNA from 1 species
CCGGCGACCGGCGGACGGGUGCGUAACGCGUAUGUAACCUACCUUUGACAGGGGGAUAACAUCGAGAAAUUGGUACUAAUACCCCAUAACAUCACCGGAGGCAUCUUCGGUGGUUGAAAACUCAGGUGGUCAGAGAUGGACAUGCGUUGUAUUAGCUAGUUGGUGAGGUAACGGCUCACCAAGGCGACGAUACAUAGGGGGACUGAGAGGUCAACCCCCACCAUUGGUACUGAGACACGGACCAAACUCCUACGGAAGGCAGCAG